UUUUUCAGCACUUAAUCAAACCUUGCAAAUCAACGGACAAUGGCGGAUUCGUCGGGGACCACGUUGAUGGAUCUGAUAACGGCGGACCCCGCGGCGUCGACCUCAGGAUCGACGACGCUGCCUCCAUCUUCGGUAUCUGCAUCUGCGACGCCGGCUUCGCAGCAGCCGUCGGGAUCAGGAACGACAACAUCGUCAUCUUCAUCGUCAGGGAAGACGAUAUUAGGAGAGAAGAAGUCGAAGAGAGCAACGCUUAUGCAGAUCCAAAGCGACACCAUUUCUGCUGCUAAAGCUGCCUUGCAUCCUAUGAAAACUAAUAUCAUGCCUCAGAAACAAAAGAAAAAGCCAGUUUCUUAUUCACAACUUGCAAGGAGUAUCCAUGAACUAGCUGCCACAUCUGAUCAGAAAAGUUCUCAAAAGCAAUUAGUGCAUCACGUGUUUCCCAAA
rnacentral:misc_RNA from 1 species